rnacentral:rRNA from 1 species
UGGGGAAUAUUGGACAAUGGGCGAAAGCCUGAUCCAGCCAUGCCGCGUGUGUGAAGAAGGUCUUCGGAUUGUAAAGCACUUUAAGUUGGGAGGAAGGGCAGUAAGCGAAUACCUUGCUGUUUUGACGUUACCGACAGAAUAAGCACCGGCUAACUCUGUGCCAGCAGCCGCGGUAAUACAGAGGGAGCAAGCGUUAAUCGGAAUUACUGGGCGUAAAGCGCGCGUAGGUGGUUCGUUAAGUUGAAUGUGAAAGCCCCGGGCUCAACCUGGGAACAGCAUCCCUAACUGGCGAGCUAGAGUAGGGCAGAGGGUGGUGGAAGUUCCUGUGUAGCGGUGAAAUGCGUAGAUAUAGGAAGGAACACCAGUGGCGAAGGCGACCACCUGGGCUCAUACUGACACUGAGGUGCGAAAGCGUGGGGAGCAAACAGG